GACUCUAUGAUAGUUAGGAGACCGGGUGCACCACGUAGCUUCAGGGAGGUGCACUGGUCCGAGGCAUAGUCAUGCUGCUGUGGAUGGAAUCACAAGAUGCUGCCAUGGAGCAACUUGCCUCCUUAUUGCCACCACGCCAACCUGACCGGAAUUAGGAGCAUGUCCCCAACACAUGACACAUGGUAUAUCAGUGAUCACUGAGCUAUGAACAUUUGGCAAAACCAACAAAAAUGCGCUUAGCCAAAAAGAGGUCAACAGUGCAAAAGCUCACUAAGCUAUGAGGAUUCUCCCACAGCACAGCCCUCGGCUUGCCAGCGGCCCCAUGGAGACAGCUGUUCUGAGACUGGGAGGGGAGCAGAAAUCCGCUCCCCUGGAGAAGGGGAGGAACGUGAAGAUAACACCAGAGGAGGAUACAAACAAUGGACACCCAGAGGACUCGCGCUCACAGAGGGAAAUGUCCUUAUACAAUAGAAAAAUGCACAAUGCACAUUCAAAUGCCCACCCAGGUUUGACAACACUAUGGACUGUCUCCUGCUCUUUAUUCUCCAGAGUCAAGAACAAAACAAAGGCCUAUUUUUUUAAGAUUAAGACCAGAGACAGUGGGAUUAUAGGAGAGAUUUGACGAAAUGUAUAAUGGAGGGACUCAGCAUGCAUAGGGGUCUGGAGGAAUGCCAAAGGCUCAGGUCACAAAAACUGCGCUGUUUCUUCUUCUGCUCCUUUCUAAGUCUUCAUAAAUAAGCACUGUCAGGCA